GAUGAACGCUGGCGGCGUGCCUAAUACAUGCAAGUCGAGCGAACAGAUCCGGAGCUUGCUCCUUUGACGUUAGCGGCGGACGGGUGAGUCACACGUGGAUACCCUCCCUAUCAGACUGGGAUCACUUCGGGAAACCGGAGCUAAUCCCGGAUAACCUAUUGCACCGCAUGGUUCAAUAGUGAAAGUCGGCUUUGCUGUCACUUCUAGCUGGAUCCGCGCCGUAUUGGCUAGUUGGUGAGUUAACGGCUUACCAAGGCAACGAUACGUGACCGAACUGAGAGAGUGAUCGGCCACACUGGAGCGUGGACACGGUCCAUAGUCCUGCGGGAGGCAGCAGUAGGGUAUCGGACGCAACAGUCGAAAGCCUGACGGAGCAAGGCCACGUGAGUGAUAGAGGCCUUGGGAUCGUAAUAAUCGGUUAUCAGGGAAAAACAAAUGUGUAAGGAACUGUGGACAGCGUGACGGUAACGGAUCAGAAAGCCACGGCUAACUACGUG
rnacentral:rRNA from 1 species